rnacentral:rRNA from 1 species
GUGGGGAAUCUUAGACAAUGGGGGAAACCCUGAUCUAGCCAUGCCGCGUGAGCGAUGAAGGCCUUAGGGUUGUAAAGCUCUUUCAGCUGGGAAGAUAAUGACUGUACCAGCAGAAGAAGCCCCGGCUAACUCCGUGCCAGCAGCCGCGGUAAUACGGAGGGGGCUAGCGUUGUUCGGAAUUACUGGGCGUAAAGCGCACGUAGGCGGACCGGAAAGUCAGAGGUGAAAUCCCAGGGCUCAACCUUGGAACUGCCUUUGAAACUCCUGGUCUUGAGGUCGAGAGAGGUGAGUGGAAUUCCGAGUGUAGAGGUGAAAUGCGUAGAUAUUCGGAGGAACACCAGUGGCGAAGGCGGCUCACUGGCUCGAUACUGACGCUGAGGUGCGAAAGCGUGGGGAGCAAACAGGAUUAGAUACCCGAGUAGUCC